AUUACCAAGGCAUCAGGGCAGAGACUCCCUGAGGUUAUGCUAGAAGGGUACCAUUUGAAAAGGAAGUGUAUGACCCACCGUGAAAUGGAACUGGUAGCUGGUCACCCAGGUGCUCUUCCUUGUUAACUGAUGAGAGCGAUUAUUAUGUGAGAACUUUAACAACCUGCCAAAGGAUCCCGGGUCAAGAAUGAGAGCUGAACCAUUGAAAAGCUGAGCAUUGAAGUGCCUGGGAAGCCCAAAACUCAGCACAUUCAUGCUUUUGCUGGUUUUUGACCAUUGAGAAGAAAAAAGCGUCAGCAACCAGGGAGCAGGAUGAGUGGAUCUGGUUCAGAACAUCUGUGAACACAGAGGGAGUGGAAACUUCACUUUCAACAUCAUCAGCCAACUUCCCUCCCAUUACAAUUCUAUCUCAAGAUCAAGGUCAUGCAACAAA
rnacentral:lncRNA from 1 species